rnacentral:rRNA from 1 species
AGUGAACGCUGGCGGUAGGCCUAACACAUGCAAGUCGAACGGCAGCACAGUAAGAGCUUGCUCUUACGGGUGGCGAGUGGCGGACGGGUGAGGAAUACAUCGGAAUCUACUUUUUCGUGGGGGAUAACGUAGGGAAACUUACGCUAAUACCGCAUACGACCUACGGGUGAAAGCAGGGGAUCUUCGGACCUUGCGCGAUUGAAUGAGCCGAUGUCGGAUUAGCUAGUUGGCGGGGUAAAGGCCCACCAAGGCGACGAUCCGUAGCUGGUCUGAGAGGAUGAAUCGCCAAACUUGAACUGAGACACGGUCCAGACUCCUACGGGAGGCAGCAGUGGGGAAUAUUGGACAAUGGGCGCAAGCCUGAUCCAGCCAUACCGCGUGGGUGAAGAAGGCCUUCGGGUUGUAAAGCCCUUUUGUUGGGAAAGAAAAGCAGCAGGUUAAUACCCCGCUGUUCUGACGGUACCCAAAGAAUAAGCACCGGCUAACUUCGUG